UGAGAAAAAACUAGGUCAGAGGGUGACAGGUCGCCUAGCAACAGAGGCUUUAGUAAGGGGAAGUUAAAAAACAGGAAGUUUAGUGCAGAGCUGCAGAGGCAUAUUAAUAAAAUACAUGAAACCAGACAGAAAAAGCGGAACUAAGUAACACACACACACAUUAGUCAGAGCAGACGGAGUUGUUUUGAUGGAAACUGUGUGUGUCUGUGUGUGACCUAUAGUAGAACUAUGUAUGCGUAUUUUGCCUGGCAAUGCUUUUAGAACUGGGGUACGUGCUCGUGGCUGCAGGUCUCCGUUUCUGGAAAUGUAAAAAUAAAGAUCAUUUUUUGAGCUUUGACCACUCUGAGUCGGAAGUCUUUCUCUGUCGCCAAAAGAAUUCAAAAGAACAGAAUUUAAUAAUUGGUGCCAGUGACCCGGAUUCUUUUGCGGCUGAGAGGACAAAUUCGGCUUAAGGUGGGAUCUGAUAUGAGGCGAACAGGAGACCGGUCUAAAAAGAUUUAAAGGUAGGCACAGCCUGUUCAAAGAAAAAAGCCAAUUGUGCACAUUGGAUGAAUUCUAAAUUAUCUGUUCGCCGAGCUGAUGAUCUUCACAAUUAAAUUGGCUCAGUAGUGGUGAAAUUAAAGUAAAUUAUAAAAUCUGUUAAGUAGAUUUCGGGUGACAUGUCCAUGGUGAUUUUGGGUAAUUUGUGAUAAAUAAAAAGUAAAGUCUGGGGAAUAUUUGAUGAAAACUUAUUGUUGUUAAUGCUGGGGUGAAUUUUAAAGUUGAUGUGACGUGUGCUUAAAGUUGAUGUGUUAGGGGCGUGUCAAUUGUGUUACGUCAGCCAAGAAAAGAGAUUAGAUUAGGACAUUCGGUUAAGGGAUUUAAUUCCCAAAUUGAUUAUAGGGUUGGACCCGAGCAUCAGAUAAAUAAACUGGCGAUUACAGUCCACAGUGGUGCUUCUAAACGUAUUUAAAUUGAUCUAGGACUGGGGUUGGACUCCUAGGAGCUCAGUGUUCAGCGUGUGGCAACGACUCCUGAUCGUGGAUGCGCGGUCAAAGAGCUUAGUAUAUGUGUGUGUGUGUGUGUGUGUGCUGAGGGUGCAUUCUUUUUAUAUUAAAAUUAGUAGAGUUACAGAGGGUAUAUAGAGUGUGAACAUAAAAUAAGAGCUCGAUUAGAAACGGAUGAAAAUCCAGUAAAGUGAAGAGUGUGUGUGUGGGUGUGUGUGUGUCUGGCAGGAAGUGAAGCAGGAAGUCUGAAUAUAGCAUGUGAGCUUGUGAGAGACGUUUUAAAAUGAAAACAGAGGAAUUAGAGAAUGAAAGUGCAAAGUAAUAGUAAUGAAAAUGAUAUUAAAUAAAUGUCUUAGUGUGUUAAUACAGAUGCCCAUGGACUUGCUCAACCUCCUGGAAGAAUACAGCAGAAAAAUGAUAGAUUAACAGAAUUGGGACGAAAACAGGCUUUGGUUUAAAAUUUCACAGCUUCACCUCUCAUCCUGUCCUUAUCCUGAGAAGAAGCUUAAAGGACAGUUAAUCUCCUGAUGAAGACAGAAGACAGACAGAACAACACCGUGGACUUGAAGAAUUCACAGCAGGCAAAAAGACACUGAAGGGUCCAGCAGCAUGUAUGUUGAUGGAAACAUGCGCUCUGAAUUACAAGCUGGAAAGUGUACCAGUGACAUGACUGUGUGAAACCACUGGAUGGGACUGUCUGAGUCUCAUAUUUGCCAUGCUGGGAGUUAAGCGCCAAGAAAAGACUGAAAAGAGGAAGAGAGGAUGAAGAGAGAAGAAGAAACAGCUGAUUUGGGCCUGUGUUUGAUUUGGGAGGCCACACAGGAAGUUGAGAGAAGAGGGGACGAGGACCGGUGAGAGGUGAAGGCUGGACGUGUUAAAGUGACAGCAGGAAAAUUGGUUUGAAAAUUGAGGCUGAAUUUGUGGGGUUUAGAAACAUCCAGAGCAUCACAACAGAUGUUUUAGUAUUUCACAGUGACACCAACUGUGCCAUGUGUGCAACAGCAAAACCACCCAAUCCAGGACCCUCCAUCACUGACUGGCUUCAGUGUGAUAACUGCAACUGCUGGUUCCAUUCUGAAUGCCUGGACAUGACAAAUGAACAGCUCAGCAGUGCUCAGAAGACAGAGUGGAAGUGUGUGCUUUGUGUAACCUAAUUCCACAUGCAGUGAAAGCUACUAGAAUAAUCUGCUUAUAGUUAUUAUUGGUGUUUUGAGGAACACAUGUGUAAAACACAAUAUGUAUAACAUUCUUGCUUUGAGCACGUAUUUUAAGUAUUUCCUUUUUGAUUUUUUGGGUUGAUUUGUGUGAUGACAGAUAAUGAAUAAUAAUAUAUCAAAACUGUAUAAUAGUAAUCUGAGAAAUCAGUAAUAUGAGAAAUGUAAUUUCUCACCCCGACCGGUCGCGGCAAAUGGCCCCGCCCCUCCCUGAGCCUGGUUCUGCUGGAGGUUUCUUCAUGUUAAAAGGGAGUUUUUCCUUCCCACUGUCGCCAAAGUGCUUGCUCAUAGGGGGUCACAUGAUUGUUGGGUGUUUCUCUGUAUGUAUUAUUGUAAGGUUUAACUUAUUAUGUAAAGUGCCUUGAAGUGACUAUUGUUGUGAUUAAGCGCUGUAUAAAUAAUGUCUAAAGCUAAAGUUGCUACUUGAGGUGGUGUGUGAAAAUAUUUUCAUAAUAAUGAUGUUUUGAAAAUUAAAAUUUUGUGUGGAAAUAUAUUUCUUGUUGUUAAGCAAA